UAAAUACGAUGAAUCAAAAACAAAAAAGAAAGAAAUUAACGAUACGUAGAAAGUUUCUAGAAACAAACUGAACCCUUCUUCUUCGUGGAAGUUCAAUACACAACAAUCUUCUUCUUCUUCUUCACUGCAAUUCAUCACCUUUUUCACUGCACCAUCAUCACAUUUGAACCCUUCAUCACCUUCGAAAUUGGUAAAGCUUGAAACCCUAACUUUCAUAGAAAUUCAACUGCUUCACUCAAACUUGAAAGAAUGAACCGUUCCCUUCGCUGCAAACCUGGGGGUCCUGCUCCUCUAAGCGGGGACAAUUCAAGAAGAAUUAAGAGACGAACCGUUCCCUUCACUCAUUCAUGAUUGCUACCUUGUGUACAUUCUCACUGAAAUGGCUGGAAGUACAUCAAUUGACUGAAAUAGUGUUCACUCGGACAUGUGAUGCAACUCAUCUUCUUGCUUAGAUUCUUAGGAAUCUCGAUUUGAAAGCCAUCCCAAUUAAUGGUCAUGUGAGUCAGGUCUGCCAAUGCCACCAUGAUAUCUCUCAUUUAUAUUAUAAUAUUAUAAUAUGUUUCUUCUAACAGCCAAAACAACUUGGAUAAGUUCAAGUCUGGUGAUUGUAAUAUUCUCCAUUGUACUGACAUAGCUAUAGAAGGGGACUGGAUAUGGAGUGGUUCACUUUUGUUUAAUUUAUUGUUCAAUUGCUUACUAAUCUAUAAUCCUCUUAGUGAUAAUGUGCAUAGAAGGCAAUGACAGAUGUCAACUGUUGUGACAUAUGCAUUGCUGCCAUUAUCUUAGUUCCAAUAUCAAUUAUUAGAAGUUAUUUAUUUUGUUUAUCAUGUCACAUGACAGGUAUUUCCUGUUGCUCAAAAGGGAUUUGUGGAUUCAAUCUUUUUACAAGUAUGAACUCUCCCUUCUCUGGUCUUGAACUUGUUUGAGCGAACUUGCAAGAGGUCAAGGCUGUACAAAAUGCUGCUUAUAAAGCUGAUUGGUAUGUUGUCUAUAUAGUAUGCAAUAUGACACAAUCUACGGAAGUUGUUCAUGAGUGUUGGAAGAGUGAAUUUCACAUGUCUAUAUAACUGGUUAUAUAGAAUUGGAAGAGUCUGCAACUCUGCAUCAAUAUACUUUGUUGGAACUGAAUUUUACAUUGACAAAAGUAUUUACUGACUAGACGUUCACAUUUGAUCAUAUUCAAUUUUAGAGCCAAAAGCAACAAAUAGUUAUGAGUGCGAUUAUUAUGUCAUGAUACACAUGUUGAACAUUGUAUCUGCUGGUGUUGUUGGUUCAUGGACCCAAGUAAGUAAUAUAAUUUCUGUAUCAAGCUGUAUCAAUUUAUUUAAUUGGUGCAAGAGAAAACAAGCUAUAGUACAUGACGAAAUUUGGAGACAGAUCUAAGUUUAAGUUUUUUAUUCUUUUUGUCGAGGUACCGUUACAAUUUUAAUGAUAUGCAGUUGCCCCAACACAUCAAGAUAUAGUAAUUGUAAUUGUUUUUCAAGACUUAGAAUAAUUCAUUAUUGUGUUGGUUCUCUGUGUGUUUAGAAUUGUAAUUAGUUUGUAGUUAGUUACUUAUUUCUUCAUGAGUGAUAUUACCCCUUAAAUUAGAUUUUAAA